UGGGACGUCGGCAAGUGGUAAGCCAGAGGUCUUUGGAGCCUCUAUACGCUGGUUCGAAUCCAGCCGUCCCAG
rnacentral:tRNA from 1 species